UACGGGGGGGGCAAGCGUUGUUCGGAAUUACUGGGCGUAAAGGGCUGGUAGGCGGCCAACUAAGUCGGAUGUGAAAUCCCCAGGCUUAACCUGGGAACUGCAUCCGAUACUGGUCGGCUUGAAUCCGGGAGAGGGAUGCAGAAUUCCAGGUGUAGCGGUGAAAUGCGUAGAUAUCUGGAGGAAUACCGGUGGCGAAGGCGGCAUCCUGGACCGGCAUUGACGCUGAACAGCGAAAGCUAGGGGAGCGAACAGG
rnacentral:rRNA from 1 species